rnacentral:rRNA from 1 species
GAAUUUUAUAUAAAUUUAAUAGAAAAUUUAAUUUUAAAGUAGUUAUAGUUAUAUUUUAUUGGGAGGAUAAUUAAAUUUAAGUAACUUUAAUAUAGAAAACCAUUAAUUUAUGAAAAGAAAUAAAGGAGUGGCUGUAGAGUUUAGAAAGAAUUAAUUACCUUAGGGAUAACAGCGUUAUAUUUUUAAAGAGAUCUUAUUGAUAAAAAUGUUUGC